rnacentral:rRNA from 1 species
UACAGAGGUCUCAAGCGUUUGUUCGGAUUCAUUGGGCGUAAAGGGUGCGUAGGUGGCGCGGUAAGUCGGGUGUGAAAUCUCGGAGCUUAACUCCGAAAUUGCAUUCGAUACUGCCGUGCUCGAGGACUGGAGAGGAACUGAGUAAUUGUGGUAGCAGUGAAAUGCGUAGAGAUCAUGAGGAAGACCAGUGGCGAAGGCGGGUCUCUGGACAGUUCCUGACACUGAGGCACGAAGGCCAGGGGAGCAAACGGG